AGACGAUGUAUAGGAGCUGACGCCUGCCCGGUGCUGGAAGGUUAAGGGGAUCUGUUAGAGCAAUCGAAGCAGUGAACUUAAGCCCCAGUAAACGGCGGCCGUAACUAUAACGGUCCUAAGGUAGCGAAAUUCCUUGUCGGGUAAGUUCCGACCCGCACGAAAGGCGUAACGAUUUGGGCACUGUCUCAACAACAGACUCGGUGAAAUUGUAAUUCCGGUGAAGAUGCCGGAUACCUGCGACAGGACGGAAAGACCCCAUGGAGCUUUACUGUAGCUUGACAUUGGGUCUUGGUACUACAUGUACAGGAUAGGUGGGAGGCUUUGAAACCAGGACGCCAGUUUUGGCGGAGCCAUCCUUGGGAUACCACCCUUGUAGUACUGGGACUCUAACCAUAGGCCAUGAAUCUGGUCUUGGGACACUGUCAGGUGGGCAGUUUGACUGGGGCGGUCGCCUCCCAAAAGGUAACGGAGGCGCUCAAAGGUUCUCUCAGUACGGUCGGAAAUCGUACGUAGAGUGUAAAGGCAAAAGAGAGCUUGAUUGCAAGACAUACAGGUCGAGCAAGGAUGAAAAUCGGACUUAGUGAUCCGGUGGUUCUGCGUGGAAGGGCCAUCGCUCAACGGAUAAAAGCUACCCUGGGGAUAACAGGCUUAUCUCCCCCAAGAGUCCACAUCGACGGGGAGGUUUGGCACCUCGAUGUCGGCUCAUCACAUCCUGGGGCUGUAGUAGGUCCCAAGGGUUGGGCUGUUCGCCCAUUAAAGUGGUACGCGAGCUGGGUUCAGAACGUCGUGAGACAGUUCGGUCCCUAUCCGUCGCAGGCGUAGGAAAUUUGAGAAGACCUGUCCUUAGUACGAGAGGACCGGGAUGGACG
rnacentral:rRNA from 1 species